rnacentral:lncRNA from 10 species
GCUAGGAUCUCCCAGAACGUAGUCACUCAAUUAAACAGCGUAUACUGCUAGCAAAAGGAUUCUUUAAGACCAUAUCAGUGACGAUUUAGUCUUGAACUCGGCAUUUCAUUCUUCCUUGGUUCUCUGGAUUCCAUCCGUAAGCUCCAGGAUGCUAUCCGGUAUACCACAUUACAUAUAAUUGAUAAGAAGACUUUUUCCCCAUCUGGCUUUUGGACUUGUGAAAUCCAGAGAGUCCUCAUUACACAUGGUGAGUGUGUUUCCUCAAGGAGGUACAGUACUUGGCAUCUCUUAGAUGACUGUGACUCACUGCUUCGUCUGGCUGCUAUACAAGACCUCACUCUGUUGCCCAGGCUGGAGUGCAGUGGCACCUUUACAGCUCACUGCAGCCUUGACUUCCUGGGCUCAAGCCAUGUUCCCGCCUCAGCCUCCCGAGUAGCUGGGACUACAGGCAAGCACCACUAUGCUGAGAUAAUUAUUAAAUUUUUUGUAGAGAUGAAGUCUCACUAUAUUGCCCAGGCUGGUCUCAAACUUAUGGGCUCAAACAAUCCUCCCAUCUCGGCUUCUCAAAGUGCUGGGAUUGUAGGCGUGAGCCACCACGUCCAGCUGAGCAUUUUUUUGGUGAAGGAAAAAACUAGAUGACAACUAGAAUAUUAUCUGGAUAUUUCCAAACAUGACAUGAGUUGCCCUGAAAUAUCCAGCUAAGUGAUGCUGGAGUGUCUUCUGAGAGGCUACCUGAAUUAUUUGGAACAUUUACAAGUGAAUAGCGGAUAUGGCUAUACAUAGACUUAGUCUGUGUUUGUUUCCGCACAGAACCAAAAUUAAGGAAAGGGGACAGUCACAAAACACAUUCUAGAGCUCCUCUUGCUUCCCCCAUAGCUUCCCUAUGCUUCCCUGAGGCAAAGAAAACCUCGUUGUCAAACAGGAUUCCACUACUGGGCUGAGUUGUAGGUACAAAUUUCAGUCCUUUAUUUCUUACACAUUGCAAACUUUGUUUUCUGUAUUUCAGUUUUUACUU